CCUCCGAUUCUUGCAUUCUAUCCCAAGUCGAUUUUGUAGCAUUCAACUACAUUGCAAUGGCGAAGCUUAAAGUUGUUAACAUUGUUUUCUUUCUGUUGUUGGGUAUAGGAAUAUGUUCAGCUGCUAGAACACUCCUCACUUAUGAUCAUGUAGGUGUUGGGGGUGAGGUAGGCGCCUAUGGUGCAGGCCAUGGCAUUGGUGGUGGUGCUGGUGGUGGUGUUGCUGCUGGAGGCUAUGCUGGUGGUGGUGGAGGAGGUUCCGGUGGAGGUGGUGGAUAUGGAGCUGCAGGUGACCAUGGUUAUGCCAGCGGAGGUGGCAGUGGAGGCGGAGCCGGUGGUGGUUCUGGCUAUGCAGCUGGAGGAGAGCAUGGUGCUGGAUAUGCUGGAGGAGGUGGUGGUGGAAGUGGAGCAGGAGGUGGCUAUGCUGGUGGAGGACACGAUGCUGGACAUGCAAGUGGUGGUGGUGAAGGUGGUGGUAGCGGAUAUGGUGCUGGAGGAGCACCUGGUGGUGGUUAUGGUGCUGGAGGUGGUGGAGGCAGUGGUGGCGGCGGAGCAGCUGCAGGUGGAGCACAUGGUGGUGGAUAUGCUGAAGGCGCAGGAGGAGGCAGUGGUGGCGGCUAUGGUGCUGGUGGGGCACCAGGAGGUGGAUAUGGUGGUGGAGGUGGGCAU
rnacentral:lncRNA from 1 species